UCCUCAAGCUACUACUACAGUUUUACUUGCUGAGAAAGAUCAGGGCAAAAAGCGCAAGAGAUCUGGAACACAAGGUGCAUCUAAAUCACCAUCACCUAAAGGCGCUGCCAAGAUCCGGAAGAAGACAGGUGAUGCUUCUGUAAAAGAAGGGAAAAAGACUGCUCCUGAAACUGAUGAUGAGUCUGAGGAUGAGGAAGAAAAUGAGGAAGGAGAGAAAGAGAAUGGAGUUGCAGAACAAUCAGAAGAUGAGAAAUCAGAGCCUUUUGAGAGUGAAGAGAAAAAGGAUAUGUCUGACGCUGACUCUGAAGAAGAUACGCCAAAAGAGAAAGCGAGUUCGGGAAAAGCAAAAAGAGACACCAAAAAAAGUCUCCAGAUGUAGAAUCUUCAGGAAAAGCUGUUAGCAAUCAGUUUUCACUCCCAAAAAAGCCAGAUUGGUGCCAAAAGGAACACAAAGAAAAUCAUCAUCAAACCAUUCCAAGGCUAUUGAGAGCGAAGACAAAAGUCCCAAGGUGUUUUCUAGAAAGAAAAAAGUUGAAGAGCCAAAGAAAGAAAAGUCUUCAGCUUCGAAGAAAUCGGCUACAAAGCACAAACCUGUUACAAAGGAAAAAUCUGCUACAAAAGACAAAUCUGCUGCAAAGGACAAAUCCGGUAAAAAGGCCAUGAAAGGGAAGGAGAAAAGUAAAGAAGACAAAUUGAAGCCAAGUGACGAUGAACUAAGAAAUGCAAUAUGUGACAUUCUUAAAGAAGUCGACUUUAAUACGGUAAGAAUCGGAUGUUUCUAAUUGCUCUU